rnacentral:tRNA from 1 species
GAUUAAGAAGACAAAUAAUUGCACUUAAUUUCGACCUAAGUCUUGAUAAUAAUAUAUUAUCCUUAAUCA